GACGAACGCUGGCGGCGUGCCUAAUACAUGCAAGUAGAACGCGGAAGAGAGGAGCUUGCUCUUCUUGGAUGAGUUGCGAACGGGUGAGUAACGCGUAGGUAACCUGCCUUGUAGCGGGGGAUAACUAUUGGAAACGAUAGCUAAUACCGCAUAACAAUGGAUGACACAUGUCAUUUAUUUGAAAGGGGCAAUUGCUCCACUACAAGAUGGACCUGCGUUGUAUUAGCUAGUAGGUGAGGUAACGGCUCACCUAGGCGACGAUACAUAGCCGACCUGAGAGGGUGAUCGGCCACACUGGGACUGAGACACGGCCCAGACUCCUACGGGAGGCAGCAGUAGGGAAUCUUCGGCAAUGGGGGCAACCCUGACCGAGCAACGCCGCGUGAGUGAAGAAGGUUUUCGGAUCGUAAAGCUCUGUUGUAAGUCAAGAACGAGUGUGAGAGUGGAAAAUUCACACUGUGACGGUAGCUUACCAGAAAGGGACGGCUAACUGCGUGCCAGCAGCCGCGGUAAUACGUAGGUCCCGAGCGUUGUCCGGAUUUAUUGGGCGUAAAGCGAGCGCAGGCGGUUUGAUAAGUCUGAAGUUAAAGGCUGUGGCUCAACCAUAGUUCGCUUUGGAAACUGUCAAACUUGAGUGCAGAAGGGGAGAGUGGAAUUCCAUGUGUAGCGGUGAAAUGCGUAGAUAUAUGGAGGAACACCGGUGGCGAAAGCGGCUCUCUGGUCUGUAACUGACGCUGAGGCUCGAAAGCGUGGGGAGCGAACAGGAUUAGAUACCCUGGUAGUCCACGCCGUAAACGAUGAGUGCUAGGUGUUGGAUCCUUUCCGGGAUUCAGUGCCGCAGUUAACGCAUUAAGCACUCCGCCUGGGGAGUACGACCGCAAGGUUGAAACUCAAAGGAAUUGACGGGGGCCCGCACAAGCGGUGGAGCAUGUGGUUUAAUUCGAAGCAACGCGAAGAACCUUACCAGGUCUUGACAUCCCGAUGCUAUUUCUAGAGAUAGAAAGUUACUUCGGUACAUCGGUGACAGGUGGUGCAUGGUUGUCGUCAGCUCGUGUCGUGAGAUGUUGGGUUAAGUCCCGCAACGAGCGCAACCCCUAUUGUUAGUUGCCAUCAUUCAGUUGGGCACUCUAGCGAGACUGCCGGUAAUAAACCGGAGGAAGGUGGGGAUGACGUCAAAUCAUCAUGCCCCUUAUGACCUGGGCUACACACGUGCUACAAUGGUUGGUACAACGAGUUGCGAGUCGGUGACGGCAAGCUAAUCUCUUAAAGCCAAUCUCAGUUCGGAUUGUAGGCUGCAACUCGCCUACAUGAAGUCGGAAUCGCUAGUAAUCGCGGAUCAGCACGCCGCGGUGAAUACGUUCCCGGGCCU
rnacentral:rRNA from 1 species